AAGUGAGACCCUGUCUUUAUUUAAAAUUAAGGAAAAAUAAAGAUACGAUACUGUAUGCAGAUUUAAAUCAUUUUGAGCAAGUCGUAUUUUCUUGCCACCUUGGAAGAGUCAAUUAACAUUUAUUGCUGGCCACAUGGCAGACAAUAUGCUCAAUGCUUCAUGGGCAUUAUCUCAUUUCUGUUUUAAAUUACAAAAUGAAGUCUAUGGAUGUUGAAAAUUUUGAAAGAUAUAGAAAAACACAGGAUAAAAAUUGAGAGGCUCUCGUCUCUUCUGCCUUCCCUUACCUUCUCUCUCACUGCUCUCUUUCCCUACAGCUUACCCUAGUGGUACAUGUAUGGUUGUGUGCCGGAUAUGUAUGUGUGUGUUUGUGGGUAGCUGUGUGUACAUACACACAUAACCAUACAAACAAGACCAUAGCUAUUUAUUGUAUUAAGACUUUUCCCCCCUUUUUAAUAGUGUAAUUUGGAUAUUUUCCUGCCUUCUACCAAAUACAUAAAUAUCAUGUUUCUUAAUACUCUUAAUAGUCUAUUCCAUAGUUUAGACUGUAUUUAACAACUCCCUUAUCAUUAGAUAUUUAGGCUUGUCCAGCUUUUUGCUAUCACAAACAGGGAUCUUGGUGUAUAUGUGAAUGUUGGCAGCAGGUUAGCAGAGCACCAGAAGUGGGACUACUGGUCAAACCUUUGCACAAAAAUCAUACAGCCUCUAAUAGCAUUUCCCAGAGAAGAAAAGGGCCUUGUCUGGAACACAGAUCAAGAACUCUUAACUUUUUCUGAUCCAUGCUUUACAUUGCCACUUGAUAAAUACUACAUGUCAUCUCUAAGUACCACUAAAUCUCCCAUCUGGAGAGAUGGGACACUCUCCUUUAUACCUUUGAUGACUUUACUACCCAUGAUAAAAGCAGGAGAUCCCACCUUCCAGCUGCCCCUUCUUAAACAUCUAACUCUGUGCAAGUCCCAACCCUCAUUUAAUCACUUUGCUACUUCAUUGCAUUCAUCACACCAACUUGCAGUUAUUUGUACAGUUGUUCAUCUUCCAUUAGACUGAGCCCUCUGAGGGCAGGAAAUAUUUUUCAUUCUUCUUGGAACUUCCUUUUCCUAACAUAGUGUCUGAGAUGCUCAAUAAACUUUUUUUUGAGUGAAUAAAAAAUAAAUGAGGGAGUAGAAUACCUAGAUGAAUUCAGUUAUAAAAUGGCUCCAGGUACUGAAAUUGUCCAUUUUCAUUUUUAUGUUUUUGCAAUAAGAAAGAUGAACAUGCAUCUCCCCUAGUGCUACUUUUUUCAAAACUAAAUAUUCUAAUUCCAAGGCUUUAUUUCCGUCAAAUAACUACCACUUCCAAAUUCUUCUGUUAUUUUUAUUGUUCUCCAGGAUCUCUCCAUCUCAAUCAUGUCAUACAUUGGAAACAAUUCUCUGACACUUCAUCUAUAUACAAUCAACACUUUGUUAGGCUCUUGUAGCUGCCUCAUUUUUUGUAACACAAUAGAAUACUUGCCUUAAUAAUAAAUUAUAUUUGCCUUACAGUAUGGCUUAUUAGAUACCCAAAAUGUUUUCUGCCAUGCUUUCGAAAUGUUUUGACUGCAUGACAUUCUAUGGUGUUAAAAUUCCCCAAAAUGAAUGAUUUAUACUGCAUUUGCCUUAAUUGGAAUCUAUCCUGUUUUCAUCUUUCCUACUUUGACAGUCAUCUCAAUGUAAAUCCUGUGUCAGAGGUGCUUAUCUGUCUCUUUGCUACUUUUCUUUGAAAACUAAACAUAAACACAAGAAAUUUCACAUAGUAAAACUAGUAAGAUCUGGGUUUAUAAAUAUAAAUGGUGCAUCUGUGGCGGCAGAGCUCUGUCUCCAACUUCUUGGAGAUAAACAAGUUCAUAGUUAGAAAUGCUCUAGAAGUAAACAGGAAACCUGCUACACAAAUUGUGAAAUAUAAGUAUGUUUUAUAGAAGUCCUGAAAUUGUAUUUUUCAACAAGUUAAAACAGAAAAACCUAACACUACCAUAUCCAUUAAAUAUUAAUUCUCUCUUCCUCAAAUGUUUUACUCAUAUCUAUGCCUGUCCCUUUGGAACAUUUUUCAGUCAAAUUCAUAACACUGUCUUGAUUCCAAGCCUCAGGAGAACAUUUGAAUGAAAUUUUCAAAUGCUUCAAUUUUUAUAUCAUCCAAUGUGGAAUUCACAUUUACUGAGCACCUGCAAUGAGCUAGGAUCUGUACUACAUACUUUUAAAAAUACAUUAUUUUUCCUAAGAAAGUUCUGAGGUAGAUAUAUUAUUUUACAGAUGAGGAAACAGAGGUUCAGAGAGGUUAACUGACUUCACAAAAGUCAUAGAGCUACUAGGUAACAGAGCUCAUUGAACAUGGAGCUAGGAUUCAACCCUGGAUCGCCGUGAAGCCAUUUUGUUUCCAUGACAUCAUGACAUUGGUUAUAACACCACAAUUGUUUAGAAUAUAAGGCUUGUUUAGAAUGCAAGGCUUCCUCAAUUCUCCACCCUUCCCCUCUUGACAUCUUGCUCUUCUUCCCUUCAUCUAUUGUGUUAGUCAGGUGCAUGCUGGUCUUCCCUCUAUCAAACUGUAAGCUACUUGGAGACUUGGGAUGCCUCACUCAUCUCUAUUCCCAAACCUCAGGGUCUAUCAUUCUACCUUCUGUAUAGACAGGACUUUCAUAGUUUUGAACAAGUCAGAACCUGAAAGAAUUUGCUUCCAGAACAGGACAUUGACAGGAAAAUUAAGCAUGAUCAUGCCGAGUAAAAUAGGAAUAAGAAUUGGACCUACCUCAAGAUCUGUUGAGAAGAUUAUGAGAGAGCUGAUGGAUCUAAAAGAUUGGCGCUUGAUAGAAUUGGGAUCAUUUGUUUUGACUAGAACAAUCUCUUGCAGCUUGGAUGGAGAAACUUUACAGAGGUUUCAGCCAAACACUCAUGAAUUCUUUAAUGUGUGAAAUAAAGUAAGUUUUAUAGGCAAAUAACAAUCUGAAUCCCUAACUAGCUAUUUCAUAUAAUAUGCAUAUAACUCUGAAAAUUACAUACAUCAAAUUUCAAUUUGGCUUCAUGCAUGCUUUGUUUUAUAGAUUCAUAAAGGCAGAUUUUCUCUGAUUAUCAGACUUAUUGCAAAAUGGAGUCAACACAGAAACUUCCUGAAGUUGGCAAAGCUUGUUUUCUUUGGCUGACAGGAGUAACUGAUGUAUUAUUAUUUUUUAAGGCUCUGAGAUAAAUCUGAUUCAUGUUUGAAUCAUAAGUUUAUUAUUGAUUUUUAGUGUGGAUUUUGCAUAAGAUACUCAAUUUAGAGAAUACUCAGCUUUCUCAUAUGCAGAAUAGAAAAAAAGUAGUUACCUGAUCAGAUUUUUUGAAAGGUAAAUGCAACAGCAGUUGUAAAUGGCAUAGUCCAUUGUUAGGAAUAGACUAGGUGUUCAAUAAAUGAAUAAAAAAAAACCGUGAAGCUCUCCUGAAGCUUUAUAUUCCCUGUCUAUAAAAUGGAGACAUCACUGAUUUCCUGCUUACAUUACAAGACUGCUGUGAAGAUCAAAUGAAGAAACAGAUAAAAAUGUUUGGUAAACUGAAUUGUACAGUAUAAAUAGAAAGCGGUGACAAAAGUAAUUCAUACCAAUGCAGUUUUUUAAAAAUAUCCCAACCUGCCUACACAACUACUUCCUCUCUCUGAGAUUUAUCUCAAAAGUGGAAUUAGAUUCCUGUCUUAGCUGUAAAAAUAAAGCCACAAAGGGCAUCAUGCAUGAGAGAGUAAAUGUGAAACUCUGUGGGGGAAAAUGGAAACUUCAGAUAUUAUUAGGGCCUAGCUGCCAAUGGUGAUUCUCUCAAGAUUUUAUUGGCAGGUUGAGUGAAAGUGCCAGAGUGUGGAUGCACAAAUUGUAGUUUAAUUGGUGUGAUUUAUAGCUAAUGGUGCAUCAGAAGGAGGAACUAGGAACUGUGCCUUCUAAUUUAAGGCAUAGUACCUAAGACUGCAUCCACUAGGUAAGAAAACCUUCCUUGGCAAACUCAAAUAUUAAAUCUUCGCUGAAUUUGUCUUGUUCUUUUAUAUAAAAAUCAUGGAGCCAGGAGCUAAAAUAAUAUCUAAGUUUCCUCUUUGCCUGACGCCAUCCAUGCAAAAUGUGACUUGCUUCUUCAGCAGCAGCAUGAAAACAAACUAAUACACCACUAUUCCUAGGUAAGUAGAGCCACAAUGGGAAGACCACUAAGGGAAUAUGGAGGCUCACAGAGGCUAGUCAAUUUAUCCAAGGCCACGCAGCAAAGCUGGGACUCAAACUCAAAUCUUCUAGUCCUAGUUUCAUUCAGUUUUUUUUUUUUCCUACAUUGAUUCUAGACUUUGUUCUACAAGUGACUACUUUUCUGUUUUGUUCCUGACAUGAACAUGUCCAUGGCUGUCUCAGACUUGUUUGGUUACCCUAAGUAACCAUUUAGCAGCCAAUUUCUGAUAUGACUAUAGAUACAUCUCUAUAAGUGAAUUCUAUAGGUGAUUUGGCAUGAUCAAAAUGAAAAGGCUUUGUUUGAGUUCCCCAAUAUACUGCUCAAAUGAAAGCUUCUCAAAAUAUCAUUUUGAGAUACGACAGGUCUUUCCUUCAAAUACAACAGAUACUUUUCUUUUGCAGCACUCAGCAUACAUACAACUAUUUAUUUAUCUGUAAGUACUUGCUUAGUAUCUGUGAAGAACAUUGCAGGUACCUGACAUAUGUCUAACUGAUGGAGUGAGGCUGCUAAUGUGGCCAUCUCUCCCUCUUCCUGAUAAGAAAGUGAACCAGCCAUUUCAAAAUGUGGAGAAUUCGAUAAAUAUGUUCUACUCCUCUAUAGCCCUCCCACUAAAAUAAUUUUCAAUUUUCAAUUGAGGUGAAAGGAAGAAUCGGCAAAGAGACGGAUUGAGAGAAUUGUUUAUACUCAUAACUUCGUUCUCAACAUAAUUAUCUAUUUCUGAAUCCUAAAAAUCACCUAGCUAGAUUCUCCCUCAAUCUGAAGAUUACCUUUUACUCCUUGAGAUGCUAAAUGUGUUCCUAUUUAUCAUAUUAAUAUUGCGAGUAUUUUGUGUUAUGCAGCCAGAAAAAUCACAUAAUGGGAACUUACCCACAGCCCCCAAACUCAUAAACAGGAGCUGAAUAGAAAUUCCUCAGUGCAAUUUAUGGUAACAAUUUCAUGCUCAGUUUAGUUACUUCCAUGACUCAGAAAAGAAAUUUCUUUUGCUUAUUUCAGUAAUUUUUUUCUAAAAAAUUGUUCCCCUAAUUUUUGGCAAAGGAUCUAUGAGAAAGUGAAGAACUCCCUGGUUGUACAUGGAUUUGGAAUUGUCACUUAAGUGAGGCCAAAAUGUAACCCUAUGCCAUUCAUUGCAUAGUACCAUUUGUUAUAAAUUUGACCUCUAAAACAAAGAUAUUACAAAGCCAUUGAGUGUUUUUUUAAGGGAUAUAUUAUAUUUGUCACUUAGUCCCCAGUAUUAUGAUGGAAAACCUGGAUAGUGGAUAGAAAACCUGGAGGUCAUUUAGGCAUCUCUUUCACUGGUUGGGUGAGAAAUGGUGAAGAAGAUGGGAAUGGAGAAGGGACAUACAUUUGGUAAGUGUAAAUAAGAGUCUUUGCUGAUUAAUUCAGUGUGGCCCAUGAGAAAGAGUGGAAGUGUCCAAGGUUCCCUCAGGUUUACAGCUUGGGCAACUGACUGAGAACAGAAAGGAGCUGCCAUUGAGAGGAAGAAAAGAAAAUGACACUGAGUCCAUGUUGGGACACAUUGGGUUUAAAGGGAUAUCAUUAUGACCUAAGCUCUCUGAAUUCCAGUGACUGGGAAUAUGGGAAGAUACAUCUUUAACAGUUGAAGCAAUUUAUACACUUUAACAAUUGAAGCAAUUUAUACACCAGAGCCUAAGGAAUAUUUAUAGAUGAGGGCUGUGCUGCAAUGACAGAUAGGGUUGUAUGAAACAUACACUAAUCUGACCAUUCUAUCCUCCAGACUCAGGGAAGGAAAUAAUAAAAGUAAGUAACCAUAAAAAAUAGACUUUUAUGCAUAAAUAAAUAAAAAUCAGCUAGGAGACAGUUCAUCCCUGUAUAAGUAAAACAGGCAAAUUUAUCUUUCCUCUGAUUAAUAAUUUAAGAAAAAAUCCCAAGCAAGCUGCCUAUGGAGGUGUAGGAGUAGCUCCUAUAAUUAGACUCCAAUUUGAACCAUGAGGGUGAGGAUCAGAAAGCUGACUCAGAGCCUGGUGUCAAUUAUUUGCAGUUUGUACAACGAAAGGCUAAAAAUUUGGGAGAUGCAGGAUGACUGAAGCCCGAUUCUGGGGGUUGUUACAGCACAGUUACAGGGUAAGUUUUUUCCAUUGUUAUUUGCUGGAAAAUUUAUUCUCCAUCUCCUUUAGUCUGUGCCUGAAUUUUGUGGGACUUGCUCGAGAAUGGUAUUCAUGCUUUAAAUCCAAGAGCCAGGAAUCAUCGCAUUUCAACAAUUUUCCUAUUUAUUUUAACCAAAACAGAGCUGGUUUCUAUAACUCAAUUUAAGAAAUUAUCCUCUUUGAUACAAUCUACUUAUGUUUGAUUGAUUUUAGAAUAAACUAACAGAUACACAAGAGCUUAUCAAGCUAGCUCGGUUCAGUGGAGAACUAUAGCAGAAACAGCAGGUUUCUAUUUGGCACAUUUUGGAUUUAUCUGGACGCAAGAGGAUGUGAAAAGAACACCUUUCAGACAAAAGCCAGUCUUGAGUAGGAAUUUAGUGUUCCUUGCCCAAACAGCUUAGUUUGUUUCCCAUUUUGAGUCACUAUCUGAAUCCUUUUUUAUCUCCUAUAUAGAACAAAUUCUCUCCCUCUAUUUAAUAGGCUUUCAGAUAUGAAACAGAGAGAGAGAGAGAGAGAGGAAGGAAGGAAGGGAGGGAGGGAAAGAGAAAGGGAAAGAAGGAAGGAAAAGCUCUAAUUUCUUCUGUUCUUUUGGUAACACACCUCCCCUUCACAUCCUUCAGCUGCUCCCCUUAGGGCUUUUUGUAGACACUUUUGGUGGUCUCUCCUCUCACACACUGCUCACCACUGUACUUUAUUUUGUAUCAUCUGUCUCCAUCCUUUCCCAACUCCUGAGCACUCAGCCUCCUCUGGAUCUUUUCUGGUUCCUUCGCUCCUAGAACUGUGUCUGAUGGCUUAUGAAGGCAAAUGACAAAUGUUUGCCAUAUGCACAUGUAUGUGCAUGAAUGAAUACAUCCAGGUUCUGACUUCCUCGGGGCAACCUCUACUUUCUCAAUGCCCCUCUUAAGAUGGGGGUGGGGGAGGGUCCUCCUAGAACUGAACAUGAUAUUCCAGGUGUGAUCUAAUACAUUUAAAUGUCCAAAAGCUCUUUCUUCCCUAAACGUUCCUUUUUAAAAGCUACUGUUCUCAAUUAAUGGGUGUCUCAUCUUCUUAAGUAUAUUAAUAAGAGGUAUUUUGAUGUUUCCCUCCAUUCUGUGGAUUACCUCUUGAUUCUCUGGAUUCUUUGUGAUUCCGUUUUGUUUUAAGGAUGUUCUCAGGUGUCUGGUGAUCCUUGCUUAUAAGUCCAAAUUAAUGAUGAGGCACUAAAAUGCUGAUUGGAAGCUCUCUGUGCAGGCAGGUAUUGUUGAAUAGUGGUAAACAGGGGACAUGUUCAUUUUGGAGACACUCAAAUAUCAGGACCUAUAAAUCUCUAUGCCAAGUCAGUUUCCCCAGAGUCUCUUAAUAUCAUUUCUUUCAGGUUAAAAGCCUGGUUACCAGGUUCUGGGAGUGAAGGGAGGAGUGGGGCUUAGACAAGGGUGGGGGCGGGGGUAUGUCUCACAAUUCACUAAAUACCUUCUUUUAUAUAUGUGUUCUCUGUGCAGCAUUUUACCCCCACCAUCGUCCAUGUCUGAUGCCUCAGGUUCAAUCUUGUUCAGUCUUUCCAAAGAGGAAACAUUGGUUGGGUGGGAAUGAUUGGCAGGUCGAAGAGAGAAUUUGAAGCUAUAGCUGCUCCUUUUAAAACUUCUAACUCAUCUUUGUUUUUUCAGGCCUUCCUCACACCCAUGUCUUCAGAUACCCAAGGCCUUUAAUACCCAAGUCCUUCCAGGAUUCUGCACAUCUCAUUAGCUUCAUAUUCCCAUAUCAUAGUGCCUCAGAUCCCCUUUCAAGACUGAAAGACUUUCUACUCCAGAUGCCAUUGGCUGAAGACAGCUUCUAUUCAAACAGGGAAAUGGCCUGUCUGCAACAUGCAGCCUUUAUUCUUAUCUGCAUGGCAUACUCCUUCUCCUUCUUUAAAAUUUGAUAGUAAGUCUUUUAUGAUUUUGCUCUUUUAAAUGAAAUUAAUCAUGCCCCUCUUCAUCUUACUUACUCUAUACCUCAUAUAUAUAUUCAUUUUUGCAUUUAUGACAUAUCUUUUAUGUUUAUUAUACCUGUUUCCCCUGCCAGCCUAAAACUCUAUGGAGGAAGACAUUAUGUCUUAUUUGACUGUGUAUACUCAGCUCUUAGUACAAGUAAGUACCUAGUACAUAAUAGGUACUCAAUAAAUAUCAAUUGAAUUGAAUAAGAAAACUGAGUUUAGGUUAAAAAAAAAUCUCAGAUGGAAUGUCAGAGAGUAAGUACAUACCUAUUGCUGGGGUGACCAGGGGCAAAUUACUUAACAUUUCUGAGUUGGAAAUAAUGCCAACUACAAUUACAAGACCAUUGUGAAGAUAAAUAAGAUGACACAGGUAAAGAAGCUGUACAAAGUAGGGGUCUAGCUUGGGUGACAGGGUGAAACUGUCCAUUCUUCUCAUAAUAAAUGCCCAUUCUCUUCACAAUAAAUUGAAAAUUAGUUUGCAACAAACUUAUUCCUGCCCUUUUUUGUAUUCAGGGUUUGGCAAGACCUUCUGAGUUAAUUUAGGACAACUUAGUGUUUAGCAUAACUCUUUCACAGAUUUGCUGUAUUAUCAGUGUCUGAUGAUGUUGACAAUGUUGAAGAAGAAGAAAGAAGAGGAGUUGGAGGAGGAGGAAGAAAACAUCCAGAGCAUUCAAUUUAUUCUAGUUAAAUUACUAACCAGAAAGAGAAUGCCCUCGGAAGUCUACUUUAUAAUGCUGUUUGGUUCUAAGUAAAGAGCAUCUAAUAGGGAGACAUGUAAAUCCUGUUUCCAAAACACACUUAGAGGAUUACAGCAUGUGAAAGAUUUGCU
rnacentral:lncRNA from 1 species